GCCCGCUCAGAACUUAAAGGAAUUGACAGGGCCCGCACAAGCGGUGGAGUAUGUGGUUUAAUUCGAUGCAACGCGAAGAACCUUACCUGGUCUUGACAUCCCGGAGACCCUUAGGAAACUAGGGGGUGCUUCCAUCUGGAAGAAUCUGGAGACAGGUGCUGCAUGGCUGUCGUCAGCUCGUGUCGUGAGAUGUUGGGUUAAGUCCCGCAACGAGCGCAACCCUUGCCUUUAGUUGCCAGCGGUUCGGCUGGGCACUCUAAAGGGACUGCCGGUGUUAAACCGGAGGAAGGUGGGGAUGACGUCAAGUCCUCAUGGCCUUUAUGACCAGGGCUACACACGUACUACAAUGGCCGAUACAAAGGGCAGCGACACUGCGAGGUGAAGCCAAUCCCGUAAAAUCGGUCUCAGUCCGGAUUGGAGUCUGCAACUCGACUCCAUGAAGUUGGAAUCGCUAGUAAUCGUGGAUCAGCAUGCCACGGUGAAUACGUUCCCGGGCCUU
rnacentral:rRNA from 1 species